CACUUGACAAGGUACAGUAUAUUUUGCAAUGAAGGGGAAAAUAUUUCAUCAAACUUUCGGUUUGGUGAACAGGAAGACCUGAUAAAAAAGAAUGAAGGAAAUUGAUAAUAGUGUCAAACUUGGAAAAGAAUUAUAUCUGUUAAAGGUUUUGUAGGCCAAGUAAUUGCCUCUGGUGAAAUUUUGCAAACACCCCACGGCGCCA
rnacentral:lncRNA from 1 species